GUCUCAGUGGCUGCGAUGAAGAGUUGGUGACUGUGGCGGCAGGACUUCGGCGAGUUGAAGAUCAGAGUGGAAUGAAGCUUCACCGGAUGUUGUGGCACAAAAGUGGUCCAGAGACUCAAGAUAGACGAGUGACGGUACCAUUUGGGUUGAGGAACUGCAAAUUUGGAAGUGAGAGAUCUCGUUAGCACUAGGGCGGGGUUAAAAUCGUCGACAGUGGCCAUUGGAGUAGAUCGACGGAGUGAAGCAAUGUUGAAGGGUAUGGGUAAGUGAUCUCCGAGAAUCAAAGAUGGAUUUAAUGGAGGGUUGCUGUGGUGGUCGGGAAGAUGGA